rnacentral:rRNA from 1 species
GACGAACCGAGCGAACGUUGUUCGGAAUCACUGGGCUUAAAGGGCGCGUAGGCGGGCUGUCAAGUUUGGGGUGAAAUCCCGCGGCUCAACCGUGGAACUGCCUCAAAUACUGACGGUCUCGAGGGAGGUAGGGGCGAGCGGAACUGAUGGUGGAGCGGUGAAAUGCGUUGAUAUCAUCAGGAACUCCGGUGGCGAAGGCGGCUCGCUGGACCUUUUCUGACGCUGAGGCGCGAAAGCUAGGGAGCAACGGG